UCAUUCUUUAUAAUUUCUAUUUCUUUGUUUGGUAAUCCAGAGAAGCGUUUAUUCAUUUUGCAGCGGGCUAAGAAGUUUCGAUUUUUAGAAUGCGUUGAUAAAAUGGACAAGAACAUGGAGCCAAGAGUUUUAAUUUGGUGAUCUCUGGUAAAUUCUUUUUGUUUCAAUCUUUAUCGAUUUUGAGAGCAUAUAUUUCCUGAUUUGUUAUUUAUUCUUUGUUGUUGCUGGAGAGUAUAUGAUUUUGAUUUACGUCUUGAUUUGCUUUUCUCAAAAUUUCAUAGAAUCAAACUUCUCUUGACUCUUUUUUUACUCAUCAAGAUUUUGUAUAAUUUUUUGAUAUAACUUUGUUUGGUAAUCAAGAGAUGCGUUUAUCUGUUUUGCAGCGGGCUAAGAAGUUUCGAUGUCUAGAAUGACUUGAUAAAAUGAACAAGAAUGAAGAAAGAUUCAAUAUAGAUAAAUCAAAUUUCUUCAUGUUCUGUAUUCUUAUUCUUUUCUGCUUGAUAAUUUGGUAUUUUGGUUGUGGUUGGUUUCAUUCUUGGAGUUUGCUGGUUUUAUUGUAAUGAUUUAAUUAAUAUUAUUAUCG
rnacentral:lncRNA from 1 species